rnacentral:rRNA from 1 species
CUCCUUUGACGUUAGCGGCGGACGGGUGAGUAACACGUGGGUAACCUACCUAUAAGACUGGGAUAACUUCGGGAAACCGGAGCUAAUACCGGAUAAUAUUUCGAACCGCAUGGUUCGAUAGUGAAAGGUGGUUUUGCUAUCACUUAUAGAUGGACCCGCGCCGUAUUAGCUAGUUGGUAAGGUAACGGCUUACCAAGGCGACGAUACGUAGCCGACCUGAGAGGGUGAUCGGCCACACUGGAACUUAGACACGGUCCAGACUCCUACGGGAGGCAGCAGCG